rnacentral:rRNA from 1 species
AUACGGAGGGUGCAAGCGUUGUUCGGAAUCACUGGGCGUAAAGGGCGCGCAGGCGGUUUGGUAAGUCAGAUGUGAAAGCCCACGGCUCAACCGUGGAAGUGCAUUUGAAACUGCCAGACUUGAGUACCAGAGGGGAAAGUGGAAUUCCCGGUGUAGAGGUGAAAUUCGUAGAUAUCGGGAGGAGUACCGGUGGCGAAGGCGACUUUCUGGCUGGAUACUGACGCUGAGGCGCGAAAGCGUGGGGAGCAAACAGGAUUAGAAACCCGUGUAGUCC